rnacentral:rRNA from 1 species
CAGCACCACGGUAAUACAGAGGGUGCGAGCGUUAAUCGGAUUUACUGGGCGUAAAGCGUGCGUAGGCGGCUUUUUAAGUCGGAUGUGAAAUCCCUGAGCUUAACUUAGGAAUUGCAUUCGAUACUGGGAAGCUAGAGUAUGGGAGAGGAUGGUAGAAUUCCAGGUGUAGCGGUGAAAUGCGUAGAGAUCUGGAGGAAUACCGAUGGCGAAGGCAGCCAUCUGGCCUAAUACUGACGCUGAGGUACGAAAGCAUGGGGAGCAAACAGGAUUAGAGACCCCGGUAGUCCCUGUCUCUUAUACA